rnacentral:rRNA from 1 species
AUUGAACGCUGGCGGCAUGCCUUACACAUGCAAGUCGAACGGCAGCACGGGAGCUUGCACCUGGUGGCGAGUGGCGAACGGGUGAGUAAUACAUCGGAACAUGUCCUGUAGUGGGGGAUAGCCCGGCGAAAGCCGGAUUAAUACCGCAUACGAUCUACGGAUGAAAGCGGGGGACCUUCGGGCCUCGCGCUAUAGGGUUGGCCGAUGGCUGAUUAGCUAGUUGGUGGGGUAAAGGCCUACCAAGGCGACGAUCAGUAGCUGGUCUGAGAGGACGACCAGCCACACUGGGACUGAGACACGGCCCAGACUCCUACGGGAGGCAGCAGUGGGGAAUUUUGGACAAUGGGCGAAAGCCUGAUCCAGCAAUGCCGCGUGUGUGAAGAAGGCCUUCGGGUUGUAAAGCACUUUUGUCCGGAAAGAAAUCCUUGGCCCUAAUACGGUCGGGGGAUGACGGUACCGGAAGAAUAAGCACCGGCUAACUACGUG